rnacentral:rRNA from 1 species
GACGUAGGGUCCAAGCGUUGUCCGGAUUUACUGGGCGUAAAGGGCGCGUAGGCGGCUUGGCAAGUGGAUGGUGAAAUCCCUCGGCUUAACCGAGGAACUGCCGUCCAAACUGCUUAGCUUGAGACCGGGAGAGGUGAGUGGAAUUCCCAGUGUAGCGGUGAAAUGCGUAGAUAUUGGGAGGAACACCAGUGGCGAAGGCGGCUCACUGGACCGGUACUGACGCUGAUGCGCGAAAGCGUGGGGAGCAAACGGG